AUACCUUUCUCGGCCUUUUGGCUAAGAUCAAGUGUAGUAUCUGUUCUUAUCAGUUUAAUAUCUGAUAUGUGGACCAUCGGUUCACACGAUAUUAACUCAAUUUUUUAAGGGGAAGAGUCCAUUAAGGUAGCUUGCUACCUGGGCUCUUGCUCGUCGCCCAUGUGUUGCACUACUGCACGGGCCUGGCGUACCCCAC
rnacentral:snRNA from 1 species